rnacentral:rRNA from 1 species
GGGCCCGCACAAGCGGUGGAGCAUGUGGUUUAAUUCGAUGCAACGCGAAGAACCUUACCAGGUCUUGACAUCCUACGAAUAGCAAUGAAAAUUGCUAGUGCCUUCGGGAGCGUAGAGACAGGUGGUGCAUGGUUGUCGUCAGCUCGUGUCGUGAGAUGUUGGGUUAAGUCCCGCAACGAGCGCAACCCUUGCUAUUAGUUGCUAACAGGGAGAGCUGAGCACUCUAAUGGGACUGCCGGUGACAAGCCGGAGGAAGGUGGGGAUGACGUCAAAUCAUCAUGCCCUUUAUGAUCUGGGCAACACACGUGCUACAAUGGAUGGUACAAAGAGACGCAAAGCCGCGAGGCAGAGCAAAACUCAAAAAGCCAUUCUCAGUUCGGAUUGGAGUCUGCAACUCGACUCCAUGAAGUCGGAAUCGCUAGUAAUUGCGAAUCAGCAUGUCGCAGUGAAUGCGUUCCCGGGCCUU